GGAGGCGUGGCCGAGUGGUCGAUGGCAGCGGCUUGCUAAGCCGUCGUACGGGCAACCGUACCGUAGGUUCGAAUCCUACCGCCUCCG
rnacentral:tRNA from 1 species